rnacentral:rRNA from 1 species
UGAACGCUGGCGGUAUGCUUAACACAUGCAAGUCGAACGCGAACGAGUUCUUCGGAACUUUAUUAGAGUGGCGGACGGGUGAGUAACGCGUAGGAAUCUGCCUGGUAGUGGGGGACAACCUGGUGAAAACCAGGCUAAUACCGCAUACGCCCUACGGGGGAAAGCAGGGGAUCUUCGGACCUUGCGCUAUCAGAUGGGCCUGCGUCGGAUUAGCUAGUUGGUGAGGUAAUGGCUCACCAAGGCGACGAUCCGUAGCUGGUUUGAGAGAAUGAUCAGCCACACUGGGACUGAGACACGGCCCAGACUCCUACGGGAGGCAGCAGUGGGGAAUAUUGGACAAUGGGGGCAACCCUGAUCCAGCAAUACCGCGUGUGUGAAGAAGGCCUGAGGGUUGUAAAGCACUUUCAAUUGUGAAGAAAAGCUUAAGGUUAAUAACCUUGAGUCUUGACGUUAACUUUAGAAGAAGCACCGGCUAACUCC